rnacentral:lncRNA from 1 species
GAUGUAGUGGUAUCAUCUCCUUGGAGCUCAACCUACACAAAUUGGGGGUUUAUCAGAUAAAUCUUUCAAUAAUGAUCGACUUAAGGGUUAGUUCACAGAUUUGGUUCUUAUCUUUAAUGGGCAUAAUAGAAGAAUGUUAUGAGCUGAAGAAGUCUUCAUCGGGUUGGAUUUAUGACGUUCGUGAGAUUUUAUGAACGCCCAUGUGGAUGCCGCCGAAGCUUACGCCCAAGCAAAAAAAUUGCUAGAGAUUGAUAAACAAAAAAUACUGAAUCUUAGAACAAUGAAGUCCCAAAAUGGAAAAUACAACAAUCAAUGAAGCUCAAUUGAAUUACAAGAUGUGUGAUAAUAAGUUUUUGAUACUACUGGAAGCAUAAUUCCAAGAAAAGGAAGACAAAAUCACAUGAUUAUAGUAACAAUGCAAAGGAGAUUCUUAAUUAUUUGAAGAUUAAUGUUCAGUUGACUAUGGCCACACAUGAAAUUUGUUCUGAAUUCUUGCAAAUGUGGUUAAUUAGAUCACUACUGAGAGGUGUACCUGGUGAACGGUUUGACGCAGUGGUAUCAUCUCCUUGGAGCUCAACCUACACAAAUUGAGGGUUUAUCAUAUAAAUCUUUCAAUAAUGAUCGACUCAAGGGUUAGUUCACAAAUUUGAUUCUUACCUUUAAUGGGCAUAAUAGAAGAAUGUUAUGAGCUGAAGAAGUCUGCAUCGGGUUGGAUUUAUGACGUCCGUGAGAUUUUUUGGACGCCCAUGUGGAUGCCGCCCAAGCUUAUGCCCAAGCAAAAAAAUUGCUAGAAAUUGAUAAACAAAGAAUACCGAAUCUUAGAACAAGGAAGUUCCAAGAUAAAAAAUAUAACAAUCAAUGAAGCUCCAUUGAAUUACAAGAUGUGUGAUAAUAAGUUUUGAUACUACUGGAAGCAUAAUUCAAAGAAAAGGAAGACAAAAUCACAUGAUUAUAGUAACAAUACAAAGUGAGUUCUUAGUUACUAGAAGAUUAAUAUUCAGUUGACUAUGACCACACAUGAAAUUUGUUCUGAAUUCUUGCAAAUGUGGUUAAUUAGAUCACUAUUGAGAGGUGUACCUAGUGAACGGUUUGAAGUAGUGGUAUCAUCUCCUUGGAGAUUAACCUACACAAAUUUGGGGUUUAUCAGAUAAAUCUUUCAGUAAUGAUCGACUCAAGGGUUAGUUCACAGAUUUGGUUCUUACCUUUAAUAGGCAUGAUAGAAGAAUGUUAUGAGCUGAAGAAAUCUGCAUCGGGUUGGAUUUAUGAUGUCCGUGAGAUAUUUUGAACACCCAUGUGGCUGCCGCCCAAGCUUACGCCCAAGCAAAACAAAUGCUAGAAAUUGAUAAACAAAGAAUACCGAAUCUUAGAACAAUGAAGUUCCAAAAUGAAAAAUACAACAAUCAAUGAAGCUCAAUUUAAUUACAAGAUGUGUGAUUAUAAGUUUUGAUACUAUUGGAAGCAUAAUUCAAAGAAAAGGAAGACAAAAUCACAUGAUUAUAGUAACAAUGCAAAGGGAAUUCCUAGUUACUUGAAGAUUAAUGUUCAGUUGACUAUGACCACACAUGAAUUUUGUUCUGAAUUCUUGCAAAUGUGGUUCAUUAGAUCACUAUUGAGAGGUGUACCUGGUGGACGGUUUGAUGCAAUGGUAUCAUCUCCUUGGAGCUCAACCUACAUAAAUUGGGGGUUUAUCAGAUAAAUCUUUCAAUAAUGAUCGACUAAAGGGUUAGUUCACAGAUUUGGUUCUUACGUUUAAAGGGCAUGAUAGAAGAAUGUUAUGAGCUGAAGAAGUCUGCAUCGGGUUGGAUUUAUGACGUCCGUGAGAAUUUUUGGACGCCCAUGUGGAUGCCUCCCAAGCUUGCUAUAUUUUUAUUGUCAUUUAUGACAGGUGAGGACCGCCGGAGAAACUUUUUUGAUUUGCCGAAGAAGAUGACGAGAUCCAGAGUCUUAG